UACGGGGGGGAGCAAGCGUUGUUCGGAUUUACUGGGCGUAAAGGGCGCGUAGGCGGUUUGUUAAGCCAUGUGUGAAAUCCCUCGGCUCAACCGGGGAACGACGCAUGAAACUGGCAGCUAGAGUACCAAAGAAGGGGGGUGGGAAUUCCCGGUCGGUAGCGGUGAAAUGACGUAGAUAUCGGGAGGAACACCUGUGGCGAAGGCGGCCCCCUGGUUGGAUACUGACGCUGAUACGCGAAAGCGUGGGGAGCAAACAGG
rnacentral:rRNA from 1 species